rnacentral:lncRNA from 1 species
CACAAUGGCCAAGACACAUAUAUAUCCUGAAUGGCUUACAGAGAAGGUCAAUUGAUUCUUUCCCUGAUGGAUUGGUCAUGAAGAAAGCUUUGGCACAUGAUAGAGUACCAAGUCUAACUUCCCAGACUUAUGAGAGAAUAUUUUUAUAAACUCUAUAAAAAGAUGGUUAUAUUCCUGGGUAACAUGUUGUACGGGCAGUGAUACCUGAUAAAGGUCUU